CAGCUAAUGUGUGCAUAAUAUUCAUCUGUGUCUAACACUGCGUUUUGCAUUCAGAUCUUAACCACACAAACACCAUGCAGCCAAAGAAUAAGUUGGGAUCAUAGUACUGGUCUAAUGCUGUCUCACUGCACAUAAUUUACUAUUGACCAGCUUCUAAAUUCCCACACAGGA